AUUUGAAGCUCAUCUGAUUUGGUUGGAGAAACUAACAUGAGAAAACUAAGAAAGCAAAAUACCUGAGAAUGCCAUCGCCGGAAUUGCCGGAAAUAUUUUUGGACCGACAUGCCGACCGGGGGGCUUAUGAGAGGUUUAGGGGGAGAUUAUCUAUUUAUUUAUUUUUUCUUUUUUUGAAGGUUACACUUUGUAGUAAGAGAUUAGAGGAAAAGCAAGAGCU
rnacentral:misc_RNA from 1 species